rnacentral:rRNA from 1 species
UACAGAGGGGGCAAGCGUUGUUCGGAAUUACUGGGCGUAAAGGGCGCGUAGGUGGCCUUCUAAGUUGAACGUGAAAUCCCUGGGCUCAACCCAGGAACUGCGUCCAAGACUGGGAGGCUUGAAUCCGGGAGAGGGAUGCGGAAUUCCAGGUGUAGCGGUGAAAUGCGUAGAUAUCUGGAGGAAUACCGGUGGCGAAGGCGGCAUCCUGGACCGGCAUUGACGCUGAAAAGCGAAAGCCAGGGGAGCAAACGGG